UUGGGAUUGGCUGGCUGAUUAGAUCCACUAUGGCUCAUGUUCCUGUGUUGGUGUCAUUUUAUCCCCUCAGAUAUGAUCCUUGAAAGCUCCCUGCAGCCAACUACAGAGAGGAUUUGGAGACUUACAGUGAAAUGACUGACACUAGGUCAACCGCCAAGAGCUGUGAGUGGGCUAGGGCGUGAAGGAGGUGAUGUGGAGACAAUGGAGCUGCUAACCCUGUGGUCAACGGUGGAUCCAACUGAUUCACUCACCUCGGCCCACUUCUGCUUUUGGGAUCAUGGUGUACCAGGAAGCUGAGCCAGGAUAUCUAUAUAUCCUGCAGAGAGAUCAGACUUCCUUGGGACCAGACUGGAUCUGGAGCGUGGACCGGAGUCUUGCAUCCCCCCAACACCUGGAUUUAGAGGUCAUGCCAUCUCCCAGGUGACCUUCUGGACACGGGCAGGAGGAGCAAGGGAGAAUGCCAUGCCCACCCUGCCAAGAGAGACCCUCAGUCAAUCUGACCUGACCCACAGGACCAGUGGAG
rnacentral:lncRNA from 1 species